rnacentral:misc_RNA from 1 species
UCACUGCUUGCGCAGGCAGUCUCUUUAGAGUCCCCACCAUAAUGUGCUGGCAACUAAGGGCGAGGGUUGCGCUCGUUGCGGGACUUAACCCAACGUCUCACGACACGAGCUGACGACAGCCAUGCAGCACCUGUGUGCAGGUCCCCGAAGGGAGGGAUCCCAUCUCUGGAAACCGUCCUGCCAUGUCAAGGGCUGGUAAGGUUCUGCGCGUUGCUUCGAAUUAAACCACAUGCUCCACCGCUUGUGCGGGCCCCCGUCAAUUCCUUUGAGUUUCAGCCUUGCGGCCGUACUCCCCAGGCGGGGCACUUAUCGCGUUAGCUUCGACACGGAGAGGGUCGAUCCCCCCCGCGUCUAGUGCCCAUCGUUUACGGCGUGGACUAC